AUUGAACGCUGGCGGCAGGCCUAACACAUGCAAGUCGAGCGGAUGAAGGGAGCUUGCUCCUGGAUUCAGCGGCGGACGGGUGAGUAAUGCCUAGGAAUCUGCCUGGUAGUGGGGGAUAACGUCCGGAAACGGGCGCUAAUACCGCAUACGUCCUGAGGGAGAAAGUGGGGGAUCUUCGGACCUCACGCUAUCAGAUGAGCCUAGGUCGGAUUAGCUAGUUGGUGGGGUAAAGGCCUACCAAGGCGACGAUCCGUAACUGGUCUGAGAGGAUGAUCAGUCAACCGGGAAAUGAGAAACGGUCCAAACCCCAAGGGGGGGCAGGAGGGGGAAAUUUUGGAAAAGGGGGGAAAGCCUAACCCAGCCAGGCGGGGGGUGUAAAAAAGGUUUUGGGUUUGUAAAGCCUUUUAAGUUGGGAGGAAGGGCAGUAAGUUAAUACCUUGCUUUUUUGACGUUACCAACAAAAAAAGCCCCGGCAAAUUUCGU
rnacentral:rRNA from 1 species